rnacentral:ncRNA from 1 species
AAAUGAGAACUUUGAGGACUGAAGUGGGGAAAGGUUCCGUGUGAACAGCAGUUGGACACGGGUCAAUCGAUCCUAAGAGAUAGGGUAAUUCCGUUUUAAUGUCGGCGCUUGCGCCGCGCCCUCGAAAGGGAAACCAGUUAAAAUUCUGGUAUCUGGAUAUGGAUUCUCCGCGGCAACGCAACUGAGAGCGGAGACGUUGGCGGGAGCCCCAAGAAGAGUUCUCUUUUCUUCUUAACAGUCUGUCACCCUGAAAUCGGUUUGUCCGGAGCUAGGGUUCAAUGGCUGGAAGAGCGCUGCACUUUUGCGGCGUUUGGUGCGCUCCCGACGAGCCUUGAAAAUCCGCUUGAAGAAAUAGUUUUCAUGCCAGGUCGUACUCAUAACCGCAGCAGGUCUCCAAGGUGAACAGCCUCUAGUUGAUAGAACAAUGU